rnacentral:rRNA from 1 species
CGGGAGUAACGCGUGGGUAACCGUGCCUCAUACAGGGGGAUAACAGUUAGAAAUAGACUGCUAAUACCGCAUAGGCGCACAGUGCUGCAUGGCACAGUGUGAAAAACUCCGGUGGUAUGAGAUGGACCCGCGUCUGAUUAGCUAGUUGGUGGGGUAAGGCCUACCAAGGCGACGAUCAGUAGCCGGCCUGAGAGGGUGAACGGCCACAUUGGGACUGAGACACGGCCCAA